AUUGAACGCUGGCGGCAUGCCUUACACAUGCAAGUCGAACGGCAGCACGGGUGCUUGCACCUGGUGGCGAGUGGCGAACGGGUGAGUAAUACAUCGGAACAUGUCCUUUAGUGGGGGAUAGCCCGGCGAAAGCCGGAUUAAUACCGCAUACGAUCUACGGCUGAAAGCGGGGGACCUUCGGGCCUCGCGCUAUCGGGUUGGCCGAUGGCUGAUUAGCUAGUUGGUGGGGUAAAGGCCUACCAAGGCGACGAUCAGUAGCUGGUCUGAGAGGACGACCAGCCACACUGGGACUGAGACACGGCCCAGACUCCUACGGGAGGCAGCAGUGGGGAAUUUUGGACAAAGGGCGAAAGCCUGAUCCAGCAAUGCCGCGUGUGUGAAGAAGGCCUUCGGGUUGUAAAGCACUUUUGUCCGGAAAGAAAUCCUUGGCCCUAAUACGGUCGGGGGAUGACGGUACCGGAAGAAUAAGCACCGGCUAACUACGUG
rnacentral:rRNA from 1 species